GUAGGUGAACCUGCGGAAGGAUCAUUACAGAGUUCAUGCCCUCACGGGUAGAUCUCCCACCCUUGAAUACUAUACCUUAGUUGCUUUGGCAGGCCGUGGAAACACCCUGGGCUUCGGCUCGGGCGUGCCUGCCAGAGGAAACAAACUCUGUUUUUAGUGAUGUCUGAGUACUAUGUAAUAGUUAAAACUUUCAACAACGGAUCUCUUGGUUCUG
rnacentral:misc_RNA from 1 species